rnacentral:misc_RNA from 1 species
ACAACCCAGGUGUCUUUCUUAAAUGGCCCGACCCUAUGUUUUCGCUUGCCAGUUCACUACAGCGAAACACAAUUACACAACAGCCAAACAAGUAGCACUGUAGCAGUGGUUUUCUUCAAUCUUCGCAGCGACUCAUAGUCAGUCACAUACAAAGACUUCUCUUCUUUCUUUCUUUUCGCUUCAGUUUCUUUCUUUCACACGCAGAUUUGAGAUUUCUACUACCGUCUUAUUUCUGGUCUCUUUCUAGAUUGGAAUUUUCAGUAAUGGCGAAGAUUGGCAAGAUAGUGCUUGACUCUGGGUGGCUUGCGGCCAGAUCAACGGAGGUGCAACUCACUGGGACGCAACUAACAACCACUCAUCCUCCUAGUGGGCCUACCUCGCCUUGGAUGGAAGCUGAUGUCCCCGGAACUGUUUUGGGAACCCUUGUAAAGAACAAAGUGGUGCCUGAUCCUUUCUACGGAUUGGAAAACGAAACAAUCAUAGAUAUAGCUGAUUCUGGGAGGGAGUAUUAUACAUUUUGGUUCUUCACCACUUUUGAGCGUAAGCUGUCAGGAAAUCAACACCUGGUGCUGAAUUUUCGUGCAAUCAAUUACUCUGCUGAAGUAUAUUUAAAUGGACACCAGAAGGUGUUGCCAAAAGGGAUGUUUCGAAGACAUUCUCUUGAUGUUACUGAUAUUCUAAAUCCUGAAGGUCAAAAUUUGCUGGCUGUUCUUGUUCAUCCUCCAGAUCAUCCUGGGAAAAUUCCUCCUGAGGGGGGGCAGGGCGGUGAUCAUGAGGUAUAUAAGCAUUAUUGCAAGAUUCAUUUCAUUCUAUGCUUUAUGCUUUUCUUGUUUCUAAUAUCUUUCCAGAAAUGCAGAGAUAUAUCUGGAUUUUGGGUGAAUGCAUUAUUGGCUGAAAGUAAGUCUAUAAUUAACUGCAAACUGAACGUGCUACCUAACAUCCUGUUCUUUUCCCCUUUCUUUCAGAUUGGAAAAGAUGUUGCUACACAAUACGUUCAGGGUUGGGAUUGGAUAGCUCCUAUAAGGUGGCAAGCCAUUACUUUUGAAACUAAAGAGUGUAAACCUUAGUUUUUUGAUUCCCCAUAUAAUUCCAGUCUCUAUAUGGUUGGUUAAAAUGACAACAGUUUUGUUAUUAGAGUUGGUUAUAGAACAUAAGCACUGUUUUUGAAGUUCAUGAUGAUGAGGCAAAACCAAUUUACUCAACCUUAUGCUGUUUUUUUUUCUCCUUUGGUUCAACCUUAAAGUAUGGGUAUUCAUCCAUUUGCUUACUUAAUUAACGCAUACCUUGGAGGUCUAAUGUGCAGUCAUUACUAUGUCAGGGAUAGGAACACUGGCAUAUGGGAUGAGGUAUCAAUUUAUGUUACUGGGGUGAGUUCAAUGAUACAUCCUGAAACUACUUUCUUGAUCUUUAACAAUGGUCUUUAUAUCUUUAUGGUAUUUCAUAAUUCAUAUUACUGGGCUAUCAGAUUUUUUUGAGCUUAUUUUUACUUGUAAGUAUUUGUUUUCUUUGCAAUAGUUUCUGGGCCACCUGAUACAGUGAUACUUCUUGAAGUACCUGAAAGAAUAUUUUUUUGUUGUUGCUAAUUAUAGAUCACACACGAGCUCAAUCCUAUCAUUUCUUUAGACUUAAUUGUAAUCUCAUUCAAUUCAGAGUCAAAUCUAAGACUUUGGCACUUGAUGGUGGUUAAUAUGAUUUUGUAAUAGUUAGAAUUUUACAUAUUGCGACAUUUCAAUUUGUGCAGCCAGUGAAAAUUAUAGAUCCCCAUUUAGUUUCAACAUUUUUUGAUGGAUACAAGAGGGUAUAUUUGCAUGCUACAACUGAGUUGGAAAACAAAGGUGCCUGGGUUGCUGAAUGUAAUUUGAAUAUCCAAGUAUCAUUAGAGCUUGAAGGAAGCAUUUGCUUAGUUGAGCAUCUUCAGACACAACAUGUGUCAAUCCCAGCUGGAAAAAGUGUUCAAUAUACAUUUCCUGAGCUUUUUUUUCUACAAGCCCAAUUUAUGGUGGCCAAAUGGUAUGGGAAAGCAAUCCAUGUAUAAUGUUAUUAUUACUGUUGAUGUGGGGGAAUAUGGGGAGUCUGACUCAUGGAGCCAUCUGUUUGGAUUCCGUAAAAUUGAGAGCUACAUUGAUAGCAGAACUGGUGGGAGGUAUUGCUAUGUGACAUUUAGCAACCGAUUAGUGUUAUCUGUUCAAGUUUCUACCCUUAGCUUCUGCAACUAGUUUUAUAACCCAUGCAUUCUCAUAGGUUGUUCAAGGUCAAUGGGCAGCCUAUUUUUAUUCGUGGUGGUAAUUGGAUAUUGUCAGAUGGGUUACUGCGGCUUUCCAAAAAACGUUACAGAACAGACAUAAAGUUCCAUGCAGAUAUGAAUUUUAACAUGAUCCGGUGCUGGGGUGGUGGAUUAGCUGAGAGGCCAGAAUUCUAUCAUUACUGUGACAUUUAUGGUUUACUGGUAUGGCAAGAGUUCUGGAUUACUGGAGAUGUUGAUGGAAGAGGUGUACCAGUAUCAAAUCCAGAUGGUCCACUUGACCAUGACCUUUUUCUGCUAUGUGCUAGAGACACUGUCAAGCUUCUCAGAAACCAUCCUAGUCUUGCUCUUUGGGUGGGUGGAAAUGAACAAGUUCCACCACCCGACAUCAAUGAUGCUUUAAAGAAUGAUCUAAAACUUCAUCCCUUUUUUGUGAUCUCUGAAGAAACUGGCAAGUCUAUGGAAGACUUGUCUUUGCAAUCAGUCGAUCCUAGCCAAUAUCUAGAUGGCACACGUGUUUAUAUUCAAGGAUCCAUGUGGGAUGGCUUUGCAAAUGGAAAGGGGGACUUCACUGAUGGCCCCUAUGAAAUCCAAGAUCCUGAAAGCUUCUUUAGGGAUGAUUUUUACAAGUAUGGAUUCAAUCCUGAGGUUGGUUCUGUGGGAAUGCCAGUUGCUGCUACAAUCAGAGCAACGAUGCCUCCAGAAGGGUGGCAAAUUCCAUUUUUUAGGAAGCUUCCCAAUGGUUAUGUAAAAGAAGUUGCAAACCCUAUAUGGGAAUACCAUAAAUAUAUUCCUUAUUCAAAACCAGGCAAGGUUCAUGAUCAGAUCUUGUUGUAUGGGACACCAACAGAUCUUGAUGAUUUUUGUUUGAAGGCUCAGCUUGCAAACUACAUUCAGUAUAGAGCUUUAGUGGAGGGCUAUACUUCUCAUAUGUGGGGAAAACACACUGGUUUCUUAAUUUGGAAGACUCAGAAUCCUUGGACAGGUUUGAGAGGCCAGUUUUAUGAUCAUCUUCUUGACCAGACUGCAGGUUUCUAUGGUUGUCGUUGUGCUGCUGAGCCAAUCCAUGUCCAGCUGAAUCUAGCUACAUAUUUUAUUGAGGUUGUUAAUACCCAGUCGGCAGAACUCUCUGAUGUAGCCAUCGAAGCAUCAGUAUGGGAUCUAUCAGGAACCUGCCCAUAUUAUAAAGUUUUUGACAAACUCUCUGUUCCACCAAAGAAAAUAGUGUCCAUUGGUGAGAUGAACUAUCCGAAAUCUAAAAAGCCCAAGCCACUCUACUUUCUUCUUCUCAAGCUUUACAAUAUGUCAGAUUACAGCAUUAUAUCUAGGAACUUCUACUGGUUGCAUCUGCCUGGUGGAGAUUACAAGCUGUUGGAGGCAUACAGGAAGAGAAAAGUUCCCCUCAAGAUAACAUCAAGGACUUUUAUUAAAGGAUCCACUUAUGAAAUGGAAAUGCAUGUGAAGAAUACCUCUAAGAAACCAGAUUCUAAAUGCUUUACUUAUAAGAAUAAUUUCAUUACCAGACUGGGUGAUGAUGAUUUUGACAUGGCCUCUCUGGAACCUGUAAACAUUGGAACCAAAGAAAAAGAUGAAGUUGGUUUAUUUCAAAGGAUCUGCAGGCAUUUCUCACGGGAAACUGAUGGUCUCAGGGUUGCUGAAAUUAAUGGUACUGAAGAAGGAGUUGCUUUUUUCCUUCAUUUCUCUGUACAUGCAUCGAAGACAGAGCACAAGGAAGGGGAAGACACAAGAAUUCUUCCUGUUCAUUACUCGGACAACUAUUUUUCACUUGUGCCAGGCGAGGUGAUGCCCAUCAAGAUAUCUUUUGAGGUUCCUCCAGGCGUUACCCCACGGAUAACACUUCACGGCUGGAAUUAUCAUGGAGGGCAUGCUGUUUUCUGAGCUCAGCUCCAGUAGUUACUCUCCAUCGAUCAUUGGCCCCCUUGAUCAAUCUCCUUCGUGGUUAGAAAUUCAGAGGUGGUUUCAUUAAUGUUUAAAUUGAUUCGACUUCUGGGGUCAUAAUUGUGUCAUUUACAAUGCCAGAAACAUCUGCUAGUUAGAUGUUUCUCAUAGUGAUACCAAAAUAAAGCAUGUUACCAUUCCAGGCAUCAUCCACACCCUUCUUUUUUUAUUAUUAUUUUAUUUAUUUAUUUUUAUUUCCUGUUGUUUGAUAGUUCCUUAUGUAGCCCAACUUUUUAUUUGUAAACAACUGCGAUGAAGAACUGUAUUUAGCAUUUGAGGUACUUUUCUUGGUUCUGUAAUAUAUCUGAUCAUUUCUGGUUAAAUAGACACAUUAACAAGCAA